rnacentral:rRNA from 1 species
GACGAACGCUGGCGGCGUGCUUAACACAUGCAAGUCGAACGGUAAGGCCCUUCGGGGUACACGAGUGGCGAACGGGUGAGUAACACGUGGGUGAUCUGCCCUGCACUUCGGGAUAAGCCUGGGAAACUGGGUCUAAUACCGGAUAGGACCACUGCCUGCAUGGGUGGUGGUGGAAAGCUUUUGCGGUGUGGGAUGGGCCCGCGGCCUAUCAGCUUGUUGGUGGGGUGAUGGCCUACCAAGGCGACGACGGGUAGCCGGCCUGAGAGGGUGACCGGCCACACUGGGACUGGGAUACGGCCCAGACUCCUACGGGAGGCAGCAGUGGGGAAGAUUGCACAAUGGGCGCAAGCCUGAUGCAGCGACGCCGCGUGAGGGAUGACGGCCUUCGGGUUGUAAACCUCUUUCAGCACCGACGAAGCGCGAGUGACGGUAGGUGCAGAAGAAGGACCGGCCAACUACGUGCCAGCCGCCGCCGUAA